rnacentral:tRNA from 1 species
GGUAAAGAAAGGAAUUGCACCCUUGUAAGCAGGACUACAGCCUGCCGCCUCGCUCGGCCACCUUACC